rnacentral:rRNA from 1 species
UGCAAGUCGAGCGGAAACGAUCCUAGCUUGCUAGGAGGCGUCGAGCGGCGGACGGGUGAGUAAUGCAUAGGAAUCUGCCCGGUAGUGGGGGAUAACUUGAGGAAACUCAAGCUAAUACCGCAUACGCCCUACGGGGGAAAGCAGGGGCUCUUCGGACCUUGCGCUAUUGGAUGAGCUUAUGUCGGAUUAGCUAGUUGGUGAGGUAAUGGCUCACCAAGGCGACGAUCCGUAGCUGGUCUGAGAGGAUGAUCAGCCACAUCGGGACUGAGACACGGCCCGAACUCCUACGGGAGGCAGCAGUGGGGAAUAUUGGACAAUGGGGGCAACCCUGAUCCAGCCAUGCCGCGUGUGUGAAGAAGGCCCUCGGGUUGUAAAGCACUUUCAGUGAGGAAGAACGCCUGUCGGUUAAUACCCGGCAGGGGAGACAUCACUCACAGAAGAAGCACCGGCUAACUCCGUGCCAGCAGCCGCGGUAAUACGGAGGGUGCGAGCGUUAAUCGGAAUUACUGGGCGUAAAGCGUGCGUAGGCGGCUUGGUAAGCCGGUUGUGAAAGCCCCGGGCUCAACCUGGGAAUGGCAUCCGGAACUGUCAGGCUAGAGUGCAGGAGAGGAAGGUAGAAUUCCCGGUGUAGCGGUGAAAUGCGUAGAGAUCGGGAGGAAUACCAGUGGCGAAGGCGGCCUUCUGGACUGACACUGACGCUGAGGUACGAAAGCGUGGGUAGCAAACAGGAUUAGAUACCCUGGUAGUCCACGCCGUAAACGAUGUCGACUAGCCGUUGGGGUCCUCGAGACCUUUGUGGCGCAGUUAACGCACUAAGUCGACCGCCUGGGGAGUACGGCCGCAAGGUUAAAACUCAAAUGAAUUGACGGGGGCCCGCACAAGCGGUGGAGCAUGUGGUUUAAUUUCGAUGCAACGCGAAGAACCU